CAAGGCCUGUACUCACCAGGACCAAGGGCCCCCUGAGAGAUGGUGGGUGCGGUCCAGGCUGAUCUGGAGCAGGGGCUGGGUCCCCCUUCCAUUCCUUGAGAUGCAGGUGGGCACUCACUACCCUCCCGCAGGUGACCUGUUGGGCAAGAGGCUGGGCCGCUCCCCCCAUAUCAGCAGCGACUGCUUUUCACAGAAGAGGGCAUGAAGCGAAUCCCCUCACGAGGUGCUGCUGCUGCCACCGGAGCUGGGGCCCAGCAUGGCCCCGGAGGACCAUUAUCGCCGGCUUGUGUCAGCACUGAGUGAGGCCAGCACCUUUGAGGAUCCUCAGCGCCUCUACCACCUGGGCCUCCCCAGCCACGAUCUCCUGAGGGUCCGGCAGGAGGUGGCAGCUGCAGCUCUGAGGGGCCCCAGUGGCCUGGAAGCCCACCUGCCCUCCUCCACGGCAGGUCAGCGUCGGAAGCAGGGCCUGGCUCAGCACCGGGAGGGCGCCGCCCCAGCUGCCGCC
rnacentral:lncRNA from 1 species